UACGUAGGGACCAAGCGUUGUUCGGAUUUACUGGGCGUAAAGGGUGCGUAGGUGGGCUAGUAAGUCCGUGGUGAAAUCUCCAAGCUUAACUUGGAAACUGCCGUGGAUACUAUUAGUCUUGAAUAUUGUGGAGGUAAGCGGAAUAUGUCAUGUAGCGGUGAAAUGCUUAGAUAUGACAUAGAACACCGAUAGCGAAGGCAGCUUGCUACACAAUCAUUGACACUGAGGCACGAAAGCGUGGGGAUCAAACAGG
rnacentral:rRNA from 1 species